rnacentral:rRNA from 1 species
GAUGAACGCUGGCGGCGUGCCUAAUACAUGCAAGUCGAGCGAACAGAUGAGGAGCUUGCUCCUCUGACGUUAGCGGCGGACGGGUGAGUAACACGUGGAUAACCUACCUAUAAGACUGGGAUAACUUCGGGAAACCGGAGCUAAUACCGGAUAAUAUAUUGAACCGCAUGGUUCAAUAGUGAAAGACGGUUUUGCUGUCACUUAUAGAUGGAUCCGCGCCGCAUUAGCUAGUUGGUAAGGUAACGGCUUACCAAGGCAACGAUGCGUAGCCGACCUGAGAGGGUGAUCGGCCACACUGGAACUGAGACACGGUCCAGACUCCUACGGGAGGCGGCAGUAGGGAAUCUUCCGCAAAGGGCGAAAGCCUGACGGAGCAACGCCGCGUGAGUGAUGAAGGUCUUCGGAUCGUAAAACUCUGUUAUUAGGGAAGAACAAAUGUGUAAGUAACUAUGCACGUCUUGACGGUACCUAAUCAGAAAGCCACGGCUAACUACGUG